AGCCUUAAGAAAAAUAAUUUAAGGUUAAACCUGCCCAAUGUAUUUUAAUGAAUGGCCGCGGUACUUUGACCGUGCUAAGGUAGCGCAAUCAAUUGGCUUUUAAUUGAAGUCAGGUAUGAAUGGAGUUACGGGGUUAAGCUGUCUCUAAAUUAUUAUAUCGAAUUUACUAUGUAGGUGAAAAAGCCUAUAAAAUGAAAAAGGACGAUAAGACCCUUAGAGUUUAUCUUCAAAGCAGUUUAGUUGGGGCAACACAGGAGCAAAUCUCCACAAAUCGAUUAUUUUAGAUAUGAAUAAACUACCUUAGGGAUAACAGCAUAAUUUUAUAAAUAAGUUUGUGACCUCGAUGUUGGACUAGGAAACUUAAAGGCUAGCCGCCUUUAAGGUAAGUUCUGUUCGAACUAUUAAUUCCU
rnacentral:rRNA from 1 species